rnacentral:rRNA from 1 species
AGUGAACGCUGGCGGUAGGCCUAACACAUGCAAGUCGAACGGCAGCACAGUAAGAGCUUGCUCUUACGGGUGGCGAGUGGCGGACAGGUGAGGAAUACAUCGGAAUCUACUUUUUCGUGGGGGAUAACGUAGGGAAACUUACGCUAAUACCGCAUACGACCUACGGGUGAAAGCAGGGGAUCUUCGGACCUUGCGCGAUUGAAUGAGCCGAUGUCGGAUUAGCUAGUUGGCGGGGUAAAGGCCCACCAAGGCGACGAUCCGUAGCUGGUCUGAGAGGAUGAUCAGCCACGCUGGAACUGAGACACGGUCCAGACUCCUACGGGAGGCAGCAGUGGGGAAUAUUGGACAAUGGGCGCAAGCCUGAUCCAGCCAUACCGCGUGGGUGAAGAAGGCCUUCGGGUUGUAAAGCCCUUUUGUUGGGAAAGAAAAGCAGCAGGUUAAUACCCCGCUGUUCUGACGGUACCCAAAGAAUAAGCACCGGCUAACUUCGUG